rnacentral:tRNA from 1 species
UGGAAGGUGGCUCAGUGGUAGAGCCCUUGCCUUGCAUGCAUGAAGCCCUGGGUUUGAUUCCUCAGCAUCACAU